CUGUUCAGCUGCAUUGGGAAGUUUGCCAGUGGACAACCACAGAAAGUCUGCGCGAGAAUAGAAGAGGAGGGCUUGCAAAAGCAGCAGACAAGAUAUCUGCAGUUUUUGGAAACUGUUUUUUAGAUAUAACACCAAUGAAAAAAAUGUAUAAGUAAAUGCAUGCAUGUGUUCAUUGGGAGUAUAUGUAAACAGUGAUUUUUUAAAAUUAGUUUUGU